AGCGGCAGCAACCGAAUCAUCAUCGGGAUCGACCAAAUGCCCACCACCACCAACACCAACACCACCUCCACGACCACCAACAGCAGCAGCAGCAGUAGCAGUGCCAGGUAUCGGCCGCAGCCCCGAAACCAGUACUGGGGAUUCCGGCUCAAUGGGCCAUGACCCGUCUUCACUGAAAGCCGCCAUCCCCAUCGCCGUGUGGGCUUGGCGGUGAUGAUGGUGGUGAUGGGAGAGGGGGCGGAGGAGUUCUGUUCGAAGCAAGGGUAGCAGUUGGGCGGUGUGGUUGACGGAAAGGCCUGCGGGCGCCCAGGCGGCGUUGCUGCGGGCGGUGCCGGGCUCCAAAAGAACCAGC
rnacentral:lncRNA from 1 species